rnacentral:rRNA from 1 species
AACGAACGCUGGCAGCAUGCCUAACACAUGCAAGUCGAACGAGACCUUCGGGUCUAGUGGCGCACGGGUGCGUAACGCGUGGGAACCUGCCCUUAGGUUCGGAAUAACUCCCCGAAAGGGGUGCUAAUACCGGAUAAUGUCUUCGGACCAAAGAUUUAUCGCCUUUGGAUGGGCCCGCGUUGGAUUAGCUAGUUGGUAGGGUAAAAGCCUACCAAGGCGACGAUCCAUAGCUGGUCUGAGAGGAUGAUCAGCCACACUGGGACUGAGACACGGCCCAGACUCCUACGGGAGGCAGCAGUGGGGAAUAUUGGACAAUGGGCGAAAGCCUGAUCCAGCAAUGCCGCGUGAGUGAUGAAGGCCUUAGGGUGUAAAGCUCUUUUACCCGGGAUGAUAAUGACAGUACCGGGAGAAUAAGCUCCGGCUAACUCCGUG